rnacentral:rRNA from 1 species
GAUGAACGCUGGCGGCGUGCCUAAUACAUGCAAGUCGAACGAAAAGACGCGGAGCUUGUUCCUUUCACGUUAGCGGAGGACGGGUGUGUCACACGUGUGUCACCUACUUAUCUUUCUGGGAUCAUUACGGGAAUCCGGCGAUAAUACCGGAUGAUAUUCUGAACCAUAUGGUUCGAUAGUGAAAGACGGCUUUGCUAUAUCUACUCGCUGGUUCUGGGCUGUCUUGGCUGGUUGGUAGGGUCACGGCUUAUCACGGCGACUAUACGUAGCCGACUGGAGAGGCGGAUCGGCCACACUGGAGCGGAGACAGGGACCAGGCGCCUACGGGAGGCAGCAGUAGGGAAUCUGCGGCAAUGGUGGGAAGCCUGACGGAGCAACGGCGCGUGAGUGAUGAAGGUCUUCGGAGCGGAAAACUCUGUUAUUGGGUAAGAACAGACGUGGAAUGAGCUGUGGACGGCGUGACGGUACCUAAUCAGAAAGCCACGGCUAACUACGUG